AGGGUUAAAAAAUUAAAAUGUUAUUAGAAGUCCUCAGUUUCUUGUAGAGGUGGAAUUCGAAUAAGAAAAUUUAGAUUCCUGACUUCUUUAUUUUGAAGCCUUGAAAAUUUAGUUUGAGACCGGGAUUAGAUACCCCGUUAUUUAAUUUGUAAACUUUGAUGUUUUUAAUUUACUUGAGUAUUACGAGUGACUAAUUGAUGAGUAAACUGAUUAGUGUAGACUUAAAACUCAAAAAACUUGGCGGUGCCUUAAUUCUUUUCAGGGGAACUUGUCCCGUAAUCGAUGGUCCUCGAUUUAACUUACUUUUUUUUGUAUUUUAUUUUUAAAACAGUCUGUAUACCGUCGUCGUCAGAUUACCUUUAAGAGAGAUAAAAGUUGUCGGAAAAAAUGAAUAUAAUUAGUAAUACAUUGUAGGUGAAAUGCUUAGGUGAUAUUGAAGUUGUAUGUAUUUUUAAUGUCAGAUCAAGGUGCAGCUUAUAAAAAAGUGGAGAUGAGUUACAAUGAAUAUUUAUUAAACGGAUUUUAGAUUGUAAAAUUUAAGUAAAGGCGGACUUGAGAGUAAUAUUAAUAGAAGUAAUAAAAGCUUUAAUUAGUGUGUAAAUGUGAAUAUGGUGCUAAGGUGCGU
rnacentral:rRNA from 1 species